ACGGGUGAGUAAUGUCUGGGGAUCUGCCCGAUAGAGGGGGAUAACCACUGGAAACGGUGGCUAAUACCGCAUAACGUCGCAAGACCAAAGAGGGGGACCUUCGGGCCUCUCACUAUCGGAUGAACCCAGAUGGGAUUAGCUAGUAGGCGGGGUAACGGCCCACCUAGGCGACGAUCCCUAGCUGGUCUGAGAGGAUGACCAGCCACACUGGAACUGAGACACGGUCCAGACUCCUACGGGAGGCAGCAGUGGGGAAUAUUGCACAAUGGGCGCAAGCCUGAUGCAGCCAUGCCGCGUGUAUGAAGAAGGCCUUCGGGUUGUAAAGUACUUUCAGCGGGGAGGAAGGCAACAAGGUUAAUAACCUUGUUGAUUGACGUUACCCGCAGAAGAAGCACCGGCUAACUCCGUGCCAGCAGCCGCGGUAAUACGGAGGGUGCAAGCGUUAAUCGGAAUUACUGGGCGUAAAGCGCACGCAGGCGGUCUGUUAAGUCAGAUGUGAAAUCCCCGGGCUUAACCUGGGAACUGCAUUUGAAACUGGCAGGCUUGAGUCUCGUAGAGGGGGGUAGAAUUCCAGGUGUAGC
rnacentral:rRNA from 1 species